rnacentral:lncRNA from 1 species
GACAGGCCCAGGUAAUCUUUGAAAUUUCAUCGUGAGGGGAAUAGAUCAUUGCAAUUGUUGGUCGUCAACGAGGAAUUCCUAGUAAGCGCGAGUCAUCAGCUCGCGUUGACUACGUCCCUGCCCUUUGUACACACCGCCCGUCGCUCCUACCGAUUGAGAGGCCCGGGUAAUCUUUGAAAUUUCAUCGUGAUGAGGAUAGAUCAUUGCAAUUGUUGGUCUUCAACGAGGAAUUCCUAGUAAGUUAGAGUCAUCAGCUCGCGUUGACUAUGUCCCUACCGUUUGUACACACCGCCCGUUGCUCCUACCGAUUUAAUGAUCCGGUGAAAUGUUCGGAUCGCGGCGACGUGGGCGGUCCGCUGCCCGCGACGUCGCGAGAAGUCCAUUGAACCUUAUCAUUUAGAGGAAGUCGAAGUCGUAACAAGGUUGCCG